rnacentral:rRNA from 1 species
CCUACGGGAGGCAGCAGUGAGGAAUAUUGGUCAAUGGACGAGAGUCUGAACCAGCCCAGUAGCGUGAAGGAUGACUGCCCUAUGGGUUGUAAACUUCUUUUAUAUGGGAAUAAAACGUUCCACGUGUGGGAUUUUGUAUGUACCAUAUGAAUAAGGAUCGGCUAACUCCGUGCCAGCAGCCGCGGUAAUACGGAGGAUCCGAGCGUUAUCCGGAUUUAUUGGGUUUAAAGGGCGCGUAGGUGGAUUGUUAAGUCAGUUGUGAAAGUUUGCGGCUCAACCGUAAAAUUGCAGUUGAAACUGGCAGUCUUGAGUACAGUAGAGGUGGGCGGAAUUCGUGGUGUAGCGGUGAAAUGCUUAGAUAUCACGAAGAACUCCGAUUGCGAAGGCAGUUCACUGGACUGCAACUGACACUGAGGCUCGAAAGUGUGGGUAUCAAACAGGAUUAGAUACCCCAGUAGUC